rnacentral:lncRNA from 1 species
AUGUGGUGGGUUGUAGUGUUGUGUGGUGGGUUGUGGUGUUGUGUGGUGUUGUGUGGUGGGAUGUGGUGUUGUGUGGUGGGUUGUAGUGUUGUGUGGUGGGUUGUGGUAUUGUGUGGUGGAUUGUGGUGUUAUGUGGUGUGUUGUGGUGUUGUGUGGUGGGUUGUGGUGUUGUGUGGUGUUGUGUGGUGGGUUGUGGUGUUGUGUGGUGGAUUGUGGUGUUAUGUGGUGUGUUGUGGUGUUGUGUGGUGGGUUGUGGUGUUAUGUGGUGGGUUGUGGUGUUGUGUGGUGGGUUGUGGUGUUAUGUGGUGGUUUGUGGUGUUGUGUGGUGGGUUGUGGUGUUAUGUGGUGUGUUGUGGUGUUGUGUGGUGGGUUGUGGUGUUAUGUGGUGGGUUGUGGUGUUGUGUGGUGGGUUGUGGUGUUAUGUGGUGGGUUGUGGUGUUGUGUGGGGUGGGUUGUGGUGUUGUGUGGUGGGUUGUGGUGUUAUGUGGUGGGUUGUGGUAUUGUGUGGUGGGUUGUGGUGGUUUGUGGUGGGUUGUGGUGUUGUGUGGUGUUGUGGGUUGUGGUGUUGUGUGGUGGGUUGUGAGGUUGUGUGGUGGGUUGUGGUGUUGUGUGGUGUUGUGUGGUGGGUUGUGGUGUUGUGUGGUGUUGUGUGGUGGGUUGUGGUGUUGUGUGGUGGGUUGUAGUGUUGUGUGGUGGUUUGAUGGUGUUGUGUGGUGGGUUGUGGUGUUGUGUGGUGUGUUGUGGUGUUGUGUGGUGUUAUGUGGUGGAUUGUGGUGUUAUGUGGUGUGUUGUGGUGUUGUGUGGUGGGUUGUGGUGUUAUGUGGUGGGUUGUGGUGUUGUGUGGUGGGUUGUGGUGGUUUGUGGUGUGUUGUGGUGUUGUGUGGUGGGUUGUGGUGGUUUGUGGUGUUGUGUGGUGGGUUGUGGUGUUGUGUGGUGGGUUGUAGUGUUAUGUGGUGUGUUGUGGUGUUGUGUGGUGGGUUGUGGUGUUAUGUGGUGGGUUGUGGUGUUGUGUGGUGGGUUGUGGUGGGUUGUGGUGUUAUGUGGUGGGUUGUGGUGUUGUGUGGUGGGUUGUGGUGUUAUGUGGUGGGUUGUGGUGUUGUGUGGUGGGUUGUGGUGUUGUGUGGUGGGUUGUAG